AUAAGUUGGUUUGCAUCAUCUAUCUCUGUCAAUCUAUGUCGUUGCGGUUAAAAAAAAAAAAAAAAAAAAUCUAUGUCGUUGGAACAGAAAAGGAAAGAAAAGAAAAGAUGAUGAGCAGAAUGGUGUUAUGCGGUUCGCCUUCGGUUUCUCAUCGUCCGCAGCUGCAUUGACACAAUUUAUCUACAACUAUCUCUGGGCCGAUCGCAAUUCUCUCUCUUCCCUCCCAGUUGAAGCAGAAAUUCGAUGCCCUGGACACUAGAGUCUCCAAGCUCGAACCAGUCCGUGUUAACAUUCGCAAUUCGCACCAGGGUUAGGGUGAUCUGAACUGAAGCCCUUAUCUUUCGCCUUAUGCGGCUGGUUUUCACCUUUUUGUUUCUCAGUUCCUGGAUUUGAGGAAUUUUUCAUUUGGAAAAUCACAAUAUGAUCGGUAGACAUCUUAGAAUUGCUUGGCUAGUUGUUCUAGUGUAGUAUGUUUUUGGUCCCAACAAAGCCACAUAGCUUUUACUUGCUACUUUUGCAGCUUCUUUAUAACCCUCCUUUGUUAACUAAUGUAGUGGUCAUUGAUUGUCACUCUUUGCACGUGUGAUACAGUAA